GCAGGACACGCCUGCGCUGAAAGAGUGGGCAGAAAGGAGCUGACCUGGGAGUUGGAGCUCAUGCUGGACUUCAUGACUCACUCUUAACCAGCAGGACAUGGAGAGGAAAACAGUCACUCUCCCGUGGGGAGACCUGGCAGGCCUCACCUUGGCCGUGUGAUCAAGGUCCAGACCACCAGUGAUGAGGCAUGUUGACAUCGUGGCCCCUGAGAGCACGUGAUGAGAAGAGCGCCGCCCCCCCCGCCGUGUUCUUCCGCAAACGCACAGUUCCAAUGUAAUCAGAGAGAACAUCACACAAACACCAAUUGAGGGGCAUCUUGCAAAGUACCUGAGCAGUACUCUGCAAAGCUGUCAAGGCGGUGAAGCGAAGACAGGCCAGGAAAGGGUCACAGGUGCAGGGGACUAAGGAGGCGUGAGGGCCAGUGCAGCCUGGGGUCCUGGACGUGAGCUGCUGAGACGGCACCCGCGUGAGUGUCGCAGUUUCCACACCGUGAGCUGCUGAGACGGCACCCGCGUGAGUGUCGCAGUUUCCACACCGUGAGCUGCUGAGACGGCACCCGCGUGAGUGUCGCAGU
rnacentral:lncRNA from 1 species